UCCGGGGGGGGCAAGCGUUGUUCGGAAUUACUGGGCGUAAAGGGCUCGUAGGCGGCCAACUAAGUCAGACGUGAAAUCCCUCGGCUUAACCGGGGAACUGCGUCUGAUACUGGAUGGCUUGAGUUUGGGAGAGGGAUGCGGAAUUCCAGGUGUAGCGGUGAAAUGCGUAGAUAUCUGGAGGAACACCGGUGGCGAAGGCGGCAUCCUGGACCAACACUGACGCUGAGGAGCGAAAGCGUGGGGAGCAAACAGG
rnacentral:rRNA from 1 species